rnacentral:lncRNA from 1 species
CAAAGACCUGUGUCUCCAGCCUGAGAGCCUAAGACUCAGAUGGGGGCCAGACCACUCUAGGGGAAAGUCCCCACCACGUCCCGGCAACUCACAGCCCCCAGACGUGUUCGUUUCUUCUGUGGCUGAAACUACUUCUCAGGUGGUUACCAGUAAACCGGCCUGACACCUUGGGGUCAGAUGUGCAGGCCACUGCUUCAGAAGUACAGACCAACAGAGAUGGUGAAUGCUGACAGCUGCCGGGAGACUCACGCCUUAGUGACAGUCUCCAGGAGAAGACUGUGAGGCCACCAUUUGGGCCACACUGAGAAAUUGUUUUUCAUGGUUCUAUAAUGCAUCUUGGCAGAAAAAAACAAAAACCCAAAGCUCCUUGUGCUGAACUCCCAAAAUGUAGCAAGUCCAGCCCCUGCCAUAGGCCCAGGCUUCGUGCUCCCCACCCUUGGCAAGUUCUCCCCACCCCCAGCCCCACAGUUUAUUAAAUGUUUGAUUUUC